AGCUCAGCUGGAUAGAGUACUCGGCUACGAACCGAGCGGUCACAGGUUCGAAUCCUGUC
rnacentral:tRNA from 1 species